AUGGCAAAGCCAACAACAGAAGGCUGGAUCCGUCUCGCCCGCGUCAUUGUCGUCCUCCUCCUUCGGCACCGCGUCCUUCUUGGCAUCCAUCUCCACCUCCACCUCCACUGGAAAAAAGGUCGUCUGAUCAAGCCAGCGGGCGGAUACGGAACUGCAUUGGACGGCAAAACACGUCCAGACCACACGGUCCGAAUGUCAUCUCCUAGGUCACAUGGAGGAGAGGAGAGGAAAGUAGAUGGCGCAAAGACCAGGCCGAGUGGUUCCGCGCCAGAGGAAAUAGAAAGGUGCCCCAAGGAGGAAAAGACGAGGCCUGUUGGGGUCACUGACCACUGGACUAGCUACCUGCUUCCCCAUUUCAUAUCCCCGGCUAAGCGCGUCUGCCAAGAGGCUGCCCGGCUGGAGCGAGAGGUAUACUGCGACGGUGGGCUAGCUUCAAGGCGAUGGCGGACAACAACAACAACAACAACAACAACAACAACAACAACAACAACAACAUCAUCAGCGUGA
rnacentral:rRNA from 1 species